rnacentral:misc_RNA from 1 species
UAACCCCUCAAGCUCGGCUUGGUGUUGGGGCCUGCCGCACGGGCAGCCCUUAAAAUCAGUGGCGGUGCCAUCUGGCUCUAAGCGUAGUAAUUCUUCUCGCUAUAGAGUCCCGGUGGAUGCUUGCCAUCAACCCCCAUACUUCUAA